GGGGAAUUUUUCGCAAUGGGCGAAAGCCUGACGGAGCAACGCCGCGUGAGGGAUGAAGGCCUCUGGGCUGUAAACCCCUUUUCUCAAGGAAGAAGAUCUGACGGUACUUGAGGAAUAAGCCACGGCUAAUUCCGUGCCAGCAGCCGCGGUAAUACGGGAGUGGCAAGCGUUAUCCGGAAUUAUUGGGCGUAAAGCGUCCGCAGGCGGCCUAGUAAGUCUGUCGUUAAAGCGUGGAGCUCAACUCCA
rnacentral:rRNA from 1 species